CAGCAGCCACGGUAAUACAGAGGGUGCAAGCGUUAAUCGGAUUUACUGGGCGUAAAGGGCGCGUAGGUGGUUAUGUAAGUGAGAUGUGAAAUCCCCGGGCUCAACCUGGGAACUGCAUCUUAUACUGCGUAGCUGGAGUGCAGUAGAGGGUAGUGGAAUUUCCGGUGUAGCGGUGAAAUGCGUAGAUAUCGGAAGGAACACCAGUGGCGAAGGCGGCUACCUGGACUGACACUGACACUGAGGCGCGAAAGCGUGGGGAGCAAACAGGAUUAGAUACCCCUGUAGUCCCUGUCUCUUAUAC
rnacentral:rRNA from 1 species